UUUAGAGCCAGAGAAAAUGAUUCACUUCUUCAGGCACCCGGUCAGCUAUUUGAUCGUUGCUUGGAAAAGAAUCAUCAUUGCUUUCAAUGUCCAAAUCCACACCAAGAAAGCUUUCUCUCCCCCUUUAAAGGGCUCUGUAGACCCUUUUUACUCACGGACUAUACCUGGGCUGCGUGCUUCCUAGAGGAUGGUUCUGCAGGCAACAUGGCUUACAUCUUCUGGAGCAGGGAUUCCUUGAGGAGUCUAGCCCAAUAACCACUCCUUCCUUUGUAAUAUGAGCAAACUUGUACUGUCGGAGUUUAUAGAUUUUUAAAGGGACCAUUAUAAUAAUCAAGUCCAUUCUCCUGCAUAGCAUAGACCACAGAUCCUCCCCCAGCAAUUCCUGCCACAAGUCCACAACUUCUUUGAGUUCAAGGGUAUCAUUUUGACAGAGAAUCCACCAUGUCCCAAGGAUGGACACCAGGAUUGGACGUGGUGUUCCAGGACUAGUUCUGCUAGCAAAAGUUAACAGAGAUGAUUGAUAAACAUUGGAACAACACUCCGCCAAAAAGAGAUCUCUUCAGAAGCUUACUAGAAAACAUGCUCACAGGCUGAUGACUCCACAUUUACAGUUACUUUUGAGAUCUACCAGUUAACCAGAUUUUAACCCAUAUAAUAUGGGCUACACUGGGUUUAUAUAGUUGAUAUUUUCCAUGUUCUAAAUCUUGAUGUCGGGGAGAAAGUUUAUGUUCUGUCACAGGAAAAAGUUGUAUUUCAACGUUUUGACUGUUAUCUUAUCUACAUAUUUCAGAAUUGUGCAUUUUUCUGUCUGUCUGUCUGUCUGUCCAUCCAUCUGUAAGUCUCCUUCUAUUUGGUAAA